rnacentral:rRNA from 1 species
UACGAAGGGGGCUAGCGUUGCUCGGAAUGACUGGGCGUAAAGCGCACGUAGGCGGUUCGUUAUGUCGGAUGUGAAAGCCCUUGGCUUAACCGAGGAAGUGCAUCCGAAACUGGCGAGCUAGAGUACGAAAGAGGAUCGCGGAAUUCCCGGUGUAGAGGUGAAAUUCGUAGAUAUCAGGAGGAACACCGGUGGCGAAGGCGGGACUCUGGGCCGAUACUGACGCUGAGGAGCGAAAGCGUGGGGAGCGAACAGG